GGGAGCAGAGCUACACUGCAGUCGAGCGGAUGAAGGUAGCUUGCUCCGGAUUCAGCGGCGGACGGGUGAGUAAUGCUUAGGAAUCUGCCUAUUAGUGGGGGACAACGUUCCGAAAGGAGCGCUAAUACCGCAUACGUCCUACGGGAGAAAGCAGGGGACCUUCGGGCCUUGCGCUAAUAGAUGAGCCUAAGUCGGAUUAGCUAGUUGGUAGGGUAAAGGCCUACCAAGGCGACGAUCUGUAGCGGGUCUGAGAGGAUGAUCCGCCACACUGGGACUGAAACACGGCCCAGACUCCUACGGGAGGCAGCAGUGAGCACUAUUGCACAAUGUGGGUAACCCUGAUCCAGACAUGUAUCAAGAGUGAAAAAGGCCUUUUGGUUGUAAAGCAUUUUACGCCAUAGAGACGCUCACUAUGUAUUCUAUACCAUCAUGUUACUGGGACGAUUACUCAACAGACGUACUUCAACCUGGAAAAAUCUCGUGAUCAAGCAUGACACAUGUAUAUACAUCCAGCCUUUCUCAGCCAUCUAACAAGCAUUUUUCGUGACCCCUCUUCAACUUAACACCUAUACCUUAUAGUAUAAUACCAAUUAAUCUCAGAUUUUCUCGAUACUUUAUAUUCUGUACGCAAUUACCUUACUCAAAAAGAGAACAUUAUCUGGCCCUACCCCUUUGCCAAAAGUCAUAUUAUACUCUUGUCCCGGCUUCAUAUUGCGCCAAUUCAUUCCUCCUUUCAUUCUCUCCCUAUAUCCUUCUAUAUAUCUAUCUUAUUAUAGAUGAGACCACACCUCACCACAUUGNCCACUGGCACGUGGU
rnacentral:rRNA from 1 species